rnacentral:rRNA from 1 species
UACAGAGGGUGCGAGCGUUGUCCGGAAUCACUGGGCAUAAAGGGCGCGUAGGCGGCUUAUCAAGUCAGGGGUGAAAUCCGGCAGCUCAACUGUCGAAGUGCCUUUGAUACUGAUGAGCUCGAGGGAGGUAGGGGUCUGUGGAACUUCCGGUGGAGCGGUGAAAUGCGUUGAUAUCGGAAGGAACGCCGGUGGCGAAAGCGACGGACUGGACCUCUUCUGACGCUGAGGCGCGAAAGCUAGGGGAGCAAACGGG